ensembl:lncRNA
UUCGACGUUAAAUAGAUUAAUUUAAACCUCGAAUAAAAAAAAUCAUAAAUCCCACUAACGAAUCAAAUGAAUUCCAUGGCAUUUGAAUGUAACAACGAGCAUUUCCCGGAACCUUUAAAGGUACAGAUCCUUUGAUACGGUGUCAAGUCGUCCCCGAAUCGCGCUGCUCCUCCUGCGCCAACAGCACGCACUUAUAAUGGAACAGAAAAUUCGCACCCCUCCUUUAAGUAGUGCCCGCCCCGUUUGACGUAGCUGGUGGAGUGAGGGGGAAAAAAAGGCAAUGCUGUAAUUUACCUACGACUUGCAUGCGUCGCUCGAUGGUAGUGUGACUGACACAUUUGCCGACGAAUCAGUGGUGAGAGGAGGGACAUCGCAGCAAGGGCCGCCCAGGGAGAGAGCCCCUGCACUGUCGCCAGGGAAACCCCGUGGCGUGGUUGUGUGUCAGUUUCGCUGGGACCCGCGGUCGAUGCCGGUGAGGAGGGGGAUGGGCGCCUCGGCGAAUGCAAGGACCCGAGACAGAAUCAGAGCCCUGUAUCACAUACAGCAGCAUAUACCCCAUUAUAAAUAGCGAUAGUAUAUACAAUACACAAAAAUACAUGGAUCUAUCCACCGGGGAUCUAUAAAAGACAGUCAAUGGAUGCAGUGCACCUGAACAGGACAUGGAAUUUAACUUUUCCUCUACGUUUGGGAGACACUGAGAAGUUGGUUUCCUACCCCUGGAGAGGGAGCUACUUUUGAGGGCAAAGGAUACAGGAAACUCCGAGGCCGACCUACGGGCCUACUGGUCUGUUUGGAUCUGAUGUUGGGAUACUCUAAGGACCCACUGUACAUGCGUUUGCCUUGCUUGUUCAAAUUUGGAAUGCCUCUUUAGGUCCCUCAUGACCGUGAGCCGUGCUAUACGGCUCGGCGGCGCCCCACCUCUGGAGUGGUCCGUCGCUGUUGCUGGGACUUUGUGAUUCCCCUCCUCGCCUCCCCCAUCCCGUCCCAUCCUGUCCCUCCCCUCCCCCUCCCCCUUUCCUCCCCCCUCUUCCCCCGCUCCCACGCGUCGCUGUGCUGGACGUCAUGAGCAUAGUAAUCGCGCUGGGAGUCACCACACCCGAAACGUCUUACUCAGAUAUGGCUGCUGGAUCAGAGUAAGUACUGGCUGCAGGUGUGGUGGCCGUUUGGUUACAACAUGGCCCCUCACAUCACUAGCAUGUUACCCCACAAGUUAACUCAACAUUGCUAAAAUAGAACAAGUGUCCAGGGUUGUAAGCAAACUUCCCGUUGUACCCGCACCACCGGUGUAGCUGCUGCAAUGCAGGUGCUAUUAAUAAGAGGAAAGAACUGUGAAAGUAAACAAAGGAAAACGUCACGCAGAGCUGAGCAGCACGUUACUGUGGAUGCACCUACAGUUACCUCAACAACAACAACAGAGGGUUAUGUGUAAUUAAGUGCUGAACAUGUCUAAUCUUCGGUUUGUUAAUCACCUCUAUGACGCUUGCCCUCAUUUAGGUUUUUUUUUUUUGGUGGGUAAAAAAUUGCCCAACAAUAGCCAAAAGCAAUAUAACCGCUUUGGAUGGUUCUUUGGAGUUCUAGAUAUGAAUCUGCUUUCCCCUUUUUUUUAUUUGGGUAGUGGUACGUGGUGCUUUGUUCGUAUGCGUUUCUCUAGGAUCAUUAUAAAAAGUAUUCAAUGUGAACUAGUGGCUGGGACUCUCCUUUCGUCUUCCGUUAGCGGUCUGGUGUGGGCAUCCUCGAAGACUCAGCAGUUCCAAUCUUGGGCAAAAAAAAGCUAGUCAUUUAUUUGAUCCAAAGCAACACAGUACAUCCAUGCAACGUGGCUGAUCCGUCCCCUUUUUAUGUUUCUCUACAGCUGCAGAACCAUGGGUUGUAAUAAAUAUGCUUCCUUCUAAUAUCCUGUCAGCAGUUUUUUUUUUUUUUUGUCCUCUCCACAAAGUCUGCAGGAAAGAUAGGAAGUCCACCAAAGACGGAACUUUACCGUACAGAAAUACAGGAAAUACAGUAUGUGAUGCUUCAGUUCAUCGUGAGCUGUGAAACAAUGUAAUACUGACUCCUGUACACUGCUACACAAUAUACACACAUCAAGUUAGUGAGUAAUCCCAUCCUGUUAUGUGUUGUUGAAUCGUCUCAAUGGUCCAGUGUGUUACUGGCCUGGGCAGCUAUUUGUGCAACUGUGUGACGGAACCUUUGUUAAUAAUGCU